UUGACAUACACCGGUAACGCCCAGAGAUGGUGCCCCUUUGUGGUCGGUGGACAGGUGGUCGCAUGGUUGUCGUCAGCUCGUGUCGUGAGAUGUUGGGUUAAGUCCCGCAACGAGCGCAACCCUCGUCCUAUGUUGCCAGCGGGUCAUGCCGGGGACUCAUGGGAGACUGCCGGGGUCAACUCGGAGGAAGGUGGGGAUGACGUCAAAUCAUCAUGCCCCUUAUGUCUUGGGCUUCACGCAUGCUACAAUGGCCGGUACAAAGGGCUGCGAUACCGCGAGGUGGAGCGAAUCCCAGAAAGCCGGUCUCAGUUCGGAUUGGGGUCUGCAACUCGACCCCAUGAAGUCGGAGUCGCUAGUAAUCGCAGAUCAGCAACGCUGCGGUGAAUACGUUCCCGGGCCUU
rnacentral:rRNA from 1 species